UACGAAGGGGGCUAGCGUUGCUCGGAAUGACUGGGCGUAAAGGGCGCGUAGGCGGUUUGUACAGUCAGGUGUGAAAUUCCCGGGCUCAACCUGGGGGCUGCACUUGAUACGUAUGGACUGGAGUGGGGGAAGAGGGUCGUGGAAUUCCCAGUGUAGAGGUGAAAUUCGUAGAUAUUGGGAAGAACACCGGUGGCGAAGGCGGCGACCUGGUCCUUGACUGACGCUGAGGCGCGAAAGCGUGGGGAGCGAACAGG
rnacentral:rRNA from 1 species